rnacentral:rRNA from 1 species
AUACGUAGGGUGCGAGCGUUGUCCGGAAUUACUGGGCGUAAAGAGCUCGUAGGUGGUUUGUCGCGUCGUCUGUGAAAUUCCGGGGCUUAACUCCGGGCGUGCAGGCGAUACGGGCAUAACUUGAGUACCGUAGGGGAGACUGGAAUUCCUGGUGUAGCGGUGAAAUGCGCAGAUAUCAGGAGGAACACCGGUGGCGAAGGCGGGUCUCUGGGCAGUAACUGACGCUGAGGAGCGAAAGCAUGGGUAGCGAACAGGAUUAGAUACCCUGGUAGUCCAUGCCGUAAACGGUGGGCGCUAGGUGUAGGGGUCUUCCACGACUUCUGUGCCGUAGCUAACGCAUUAAGCGCCCCGCCUGGGGAGUACGGCCGCAAGGCUAAAACUCAAAGGAAUUGACGGGG